rnacentral:rRNA from 1 species
AGCAGCCGCGGUAAUUCCAGCUCCAAUAGCGUAUAUUAAAGUUGUUGCAGUUAAAAAGCUCGUAGUUGAAUUUCGAGACCGGUUUAUUGGUCGUGCUUUUGUACGUACUGGUAUUAUUGGUUUCUCCUUUCUGACGAAUCUUAAUGCCAUUAAUUUGGUGUUUUGGGGAAUCAGGACUGUUACUUUGAAAAAAUUAGAGUGUUUAAAGCAGGCUCACGCUUGAAUACAUUAGCAUGGAAUAACGGAAUAGGACGUUUGAUUCUAUUUUGUUGGUUUCUAGGAUCGACGUAAUGAUUAAUAGGGAUAGUUGGGGGCAUUAGUAUUCAAUUGUCAGAGGUGAAAUUCUUGGAUUUAUUGAAGACUAACUACUGCGAAAGCAUUUGCCAAGGAUGUUUUCAUUAAUCAAGAACGAAAGUUAGGGGAUCGAAGACGAUCAGAUACCGUCGUAGUCUUAACCAUAAACUAUGCCGACUAGGGAUCGGAUGAUGUUAAUUUUUUAAUG